UGACCUCUUCUUUCUUUUGGAUUAAAAUCUUCACGGCUUAUUCGAAGGGAAGUCCGUCGGAUGCGGACACAGCCCCCGCUACUGUAACCGGGGACGAAUCCCAAGAGACGCCACGGCCGCGAGGCUGGAAGGCUUGGGAGGAGAGCGAUCCGGGAGUCAGGAGACCUUCCGUGAGCCAGGGUCGACCG
rnacentral:ncRNA from 23 species